rnacentral:rRNA from 1 species
GUCUGUAUGGUUGUUAUAUAGAGUCUAGCCUGCCCACUGAUUUAAAUUAAAGGGCCGCGGUAUUUUGACCGUGCGAAGGUAGCAUAAUCAUUAGUCUUUUAAUUGAAGGCUUGUAUGAAUGGUUGGACAAAAAGUGAGCUGUCUCUGCUGUAAUAUUUGAAUUUAACUUUUAAGUGAAAAGGCUUAAAUGAUUUAGGGGGACGAUAAGACCCUAUAAAGCUUUACAAUAACAGAGAUGUAUUAUAAUUUGUUAGUUUAACUUAGUUUAUUUCGAGAUUGUUUCGUUGGGGCGACGAGAAUAUAAUUUAAAUAACUGUUCUUUUGAAAGAGUUAACAAUAUUAAUUGAGUGGAAAAUUGAUCCUUUAUUAAAGAUUAAAAGAUUAAGUUACUUUAGGGAUAACAGCGUAAUCUUCCUUAAGAGUUCAUAUCGACAGGAAGGGUUGCGACCUCGAUGUUGAAUUAAGGGUUCCUUGCGGUGCAGCAGUUGCAAAGGAAGGUCUGUUCGACCUUUAAAUCCUU